rnacentral:rRNA from 1 species
AAUGAACGUUGGCGGCGUGGAUUAGGCAUGCAAGUCGUGCGGCAGCAGGACCCGCAAGGGGCGCUGGCGAGCGGCGAAAGGGAUAGUAAUGUGUGGAUACCUGCCCUGGGGACGGGGAUAGCUGCUGGAAACGGCAAUUAAUACCCGAUGAUGUCUCAGGACCAAAGGUGUGAUUCCGCCCUAGGAGGGGUCCACAUCCUAUUAGCUAGUUGGUGAGGUAACGGCUCACCAAGGCCACGAUGGGUAGCGGGUGUGAGAGCACGACCCGCAUCACUGGGACUGAGACACUGCCCAGACACCUACGGGUGGCUGCAGUCGAGGAUCUUCGGCAAUGAGCGAAAGCUUGACCGAGCGACGCCGCGUGCGGGAUGAAGGCCUUCGGGUUGUAAACCGCUUUCGGAGGGGAGGAAAUCUAGGGGGGAUCACCCUUCUGGUUGACCUAUCCUAGGAAGAAGGACGGGCUAAGUUCGUGCCAGCAGCCGCCGUAAGAC